rnacentral:rRNA from 1 species
AACGAACGCUGGCGGCAGGCCUAACACAUGCAAGUCGAGCGCACCUUCGGGUGAGCGGCGGACGGGUGAGUAACGCGUGGGAAUAUGCCCUUCUCUGCGGAAUAGCCACUGGAAACGGUGAGUAAUACCGCAUACGCCCUUCGGGGAAGAUUUAUCGGAGAAGGAUUAGCCCGCGUUGGAUUAGGUAGUUGGUGGGGUAAUGGCCUACCAAGCCUACGAUCCAUAGCUGGUUUUAGAGGAUGAUCAGCCACACUGGGACUGAGACACGGCCCAGACUCCUACGGGAGGCAGCAGUGAGGAAUCUUAGACAAUGGGCGCAAGCCUGAUCUAGCCAUGCCGCGUGAGUGAUGAAGGCCCCUAGGGUCGUAAGCUCUUUCGCCAGGGAAGAUAAUGACGGUACCUGG